rnacentral:rRNA from 1 species
GUAACCUGCCUGUAAGACUGGGAUAACUCCGGGAAACCGGAGCUAAUACCGGAUAGUUCCUUGAACCGCAUGGUUCAAGGAUGAAAGACGGUUUCGGCUGUCACUUACAGAUGGACCCGCGGCGCAUUAGCUAGUUGGUGGGGUAAUGGCUCACCAAGGCGACGAUGCGUAGCCGACCUGAGAGGGUGAUCGGCCACACUGGGACUGAGACACGGCCCAGACUCCUACGGGAGGCAGCAGUAGGGAAUCUUCCGCAAUGGACGAAAGUCUGACGGAGCAACGCCGCGUGAGUGAUGAAGGUUUUCGGAUCGUAAAGCUCUGUUGUUAGGGAAGAACAAGUGCGAGAGUAACUGCUCGCACCUUGACGGUACCUAACCAGAAAGCCACGGCUAACUACGUGCCAGCAGCCGCGGUAAUACGUAGGUGGCAAGCGUUGUCCG